CUGAUUCACAUGUGGGUGAAAGCGGCAACCAUUUUGUCAUGAUGACAUGGAGCACAAACAAGAUCCUUCUCAAAUUUUAGCUUAGGUAAGCCUCAAGUAAGAUCAAGAGCAAUCAAGAGGGAAAGCAAAUCAAAACUCAGAUGACCCAAUCUCCUAUGGCACUUCCAAAGCUCAGAAGAUGAACCAGCAACUAGACAAUGAGAGAGACUAAAUGACUUAGAGAAAUCCACUCAAAACACUUGACCCUCUAGGACGAUCAUAAACACAAGAUCA
rnacentral:lncRNA from 1 species